rnacentral:tRNA from 1 species
UAUCUUUAUUUAUAUAGUUUAAAAAAAACAUUACAUUUUCACUGUAAAAAUAAAAUUUAUUUUU